rnacentral:rRNA from 1 species
CACGUAGGGCGCAAGCGUUUGUCCGGAAUUAUUGGGCGUAAAGAGCUCGUAGGCGGUCUGUUGCGUCCGCUGUGAAAACUCGGGGCUUAACCCCGAGCCUGCAGUGGAUACGGGCAGACUAGAGGUAGGUAGGGGAGAAUGGAAUUCCCGGUGUAGCGGUGAAAUGCGCAGAUAUCGGGAGGAACACCGGUGGCGAAGGCGGUUCUCUGGGACGGUACUGACGCUGAGACGCGAAAGCGUGGGGAGCGAACAGG